GUGCUUGCUUCAGCAGCACAUAUACUAAAAAACUGGAACAAUUCAAAGAAGUUUAGCAUGGCCUCUGCGCAAGGAUGACAGGCAAAUUCAUGAAGUGUUCCAUAUUUUU